CAUGUCUUUUUGAUUAUAAUUUAAAGUCUAAUCUGCUCAAUGAAUAAUUUUAAAUAGCUGCAGUAUCUUGACUGUACAAAGGUAGCAUAAUCAUUAGUCUUUUUAUUGAAGACUUGUAUGAAAGAUUGGACGAGAAAAUUACUGUCUCAAUAUAAAUAAUAUUGAAUUUAAUUUUUUAGUAAAAAAGCUAAAAUAUAUUUAAAAGACGAGAAGACCCUAUAGAGUUUUACAUAUUAAUUAAUUAUAAUUUUUAGAAUUAUUAAUAUUAUAAUUAAAAAUUUAUGUUUAAUUGGGGAGAUUAAAAAAUUUAUUAAACUUUUUUAUAAUUUAAUUAUUGAUUCAUAAUUUUUUUAUCUAAAAAUAUAAAAUUAAAAUAAAUUACCUUAGGGAUAACAGCGUUAUAUAUAUUGGAAGUUCUUAUUUUAAUAUAUAUUUGCGACCUCGAUGUUGGAUUAAAAUAAAUUUUU
rnacentral:rRNA from 1 species